rnacentral:lncRNA from 1 species
AGUGGAUUGCCAGAUCUUCACUCUAUCCACUACCUCAUCCAUUGCCUUGGAUUUUGCCUUGCUAGGACGGAAGUAAGCUUCUCCAGUUUGUCCAGCUGGGCGUCUAAGUCCAUGGCUUCAAACUCUACCAAUUCCGGAUCAGCAAAGGAAGACGUGGUAGAUGAACCUGGGAGAGAAUGGAUGGGCAUCUACAAAACAAAAUCAAGUCAGUUCCAGGCAAAGUC